GCUUUGGCUUAGGCUUAGGCUUAGGCUUAGGCUUAGGCUUAGGCUUAGGCUUAGGCUUAGGCUUAGGCUUAGGCUUAGGCUUAGGCCAAGGUUUAGGCUUGGGCU
ensembl:ncRNA ZK1025.16 ncRNA